rnacentral:rRNA from 1 species
UACGGAGGGGGCUAGCGUUGUUCGGAAUCAUUGGGCGUAAAGCGCGCGUAGGUGGCUUCGUAAGUCCGUUGUGAAAGUCAAAGGCUCAACCUUUGAAAGCCGAUGGAUACUGCGGAGCUAGAGUACGGAAGAGGCGAGUGGAAUUCCUGGUGUAGCGGUGAAAUGCGCAGAUAUCAGGAGGAACACCGAUUGCGAAGGCAGCUCGCUGGGACGUUACUGACGCUGAGACGCGAAAGCGUGGGGAGCAAACAGG